GGGGAACUGACGCAUAUUGCGCAUCGGACGUCUCAACCCGACCGAUGCACACAUCCUUGAGUGCCU
rnacentral:rRNA from 1 species